rnacentral:rRNA from 1 species
CACCUCUUCCCAUCCCGAACAGAGAAGUUAAGCCCGCCAUCGCCGAUGGUACUGCCCGUAAGGGCGGGAGAGUAGGCCGCCGCCGUCC